AGUCCACUCGGCCCGCCCUGCGACUUUGAAAGCGGUGCCCCGGACCGUUCCUUGGAGACGGUGACGCCGCGUCCGUCAUCACGCGGGCGUCGGCGCCUGCGUCAUCGCGCUGCCUCGGGCUCCGGCAGCCAUUGGCUGUCUGUCAGGCGCUGGGCGGAUCCCUAAGCGCGCUGGGGGCUGAGUCGCUCGCUUGGCGCCUUCCGCAGUGCCGCGGCGGGUGUCUGAGGCAGUGUGGCGCAACUUGAAUUUUUUUUUUUUCCUCUUUCUUUCUUUCUGUUGGUAAGAAACCCGAAGACUGUGACAGGAGCAGGCACUAGAUACACAUUCUCGUUGCUCCCCGAGUCUUGGUUUCGCAGACACUAAGCGUCUGUGGGGCGUGUGCAGGGAGGGCUGUGGGUCCUGGGGCGGAGGUGACUCCAGUCCCCUCCAGUCAGCUUCCAGCAGUCGCUUCUAGGUCUGGAAGUAGUGACCCUCCUGCUCCUAGGAAAGAGAGCUGUUGUCGAAUAUUUAACCCUGUCACGUAGUCGGGAUUCAGGGUAGCCUGCAAAGCCUGCAGAACUCCAAGUCCCUCCCCCUAGAACGUGUGCUGGGCGGAGCCUAAGAGGGAGCCCUGUUCUUCGACGUGGGCCAGAGACCGCCACAGAGCACAGCAGAGCUGGAACUGAGAACUUCCAGGUCUGUGUUCUAUUGAUGAAUUUUAAAAUUGAACACACUUGGGAUGGUUUUCCAGUGAGGCAUGAGCCAGUGUGUGUCAAGCUGAGUCCAGGGGACAAGGGAGUGAAGCUGGAGGUUUGUGCUCCAUUUUUCAAUGACCCUCCAGCUCCUCCUGGAGAACCAGGAAAGCCUUUCAGUGAACUGUGGAAUUAUGAAGUUGUGGAAGCAUUUUUCUUGAAUGAUACAACUGAGCAGUAUUUAGAAGUUGAACUUUGUCCACAUGGACAGCACUUAGUUCUUUUACUCUCUGGAAGAAGAAAUGUUUGGAAAAAAGAGCUCGCGUUAUCAUUCAAAGUGUUCAGAGGAGAGACAAACUGGGAAGGCAUAGCUUUUCUUCCUUGGAGUUAUUUUCCACCAAAGGUGACAAAAUUCAACUCAUUUGCAAUUCAUGGAUCAAAUGACAGAAGAAGUUACGAGGCCCUUUACCCUGUGCCACAGCAUGAACUGCAACAAGGGCAAAAACCUGAUUUCCAUCGUCUAGAAUAUUUCAAGCCUUUCAGUUUUAACACACUGCUUGGAGAAGAAUGGAAGCAGCCAGAGUCAGACUUGUGGCUAAUAGAGAGACCUGAUAUGUCGGAGUAGAUAACCAACUAUGUCAAUCAUUUCUCCUCUGUACCUCCUAAGAGCUUGCCUUUUAAUAGAUCUGUGAACUUCUGCAUCAUUCUUAGUCCUUCUCAACAUCAUUAUCUCAGAGGCCAUGCUCAGAGAAGCCAUCAUGAGGUGAGCAGCUUUGUUCCCCUACUCAUUCUGCCAUGGUAUUCUCCCUUGCUAUUGGAUAAGCCCCAGAACACCAGACAACUGCCCAAAGGCUGAGACACCUGAAACAACGAAUUGGAAUGCAUCUUCUCUUCUUGAAUUUAUUUAUUUGUGUAUGUGCACAUGGGUGCCAUGGUGGGUGUGUGGAGGGCAGAGGACAGCUAUCCUUCUAUCAUGCAGAUUCUGGGGAAUCACACUCAAGUCAUCAAGUUUGGUGGCAGGCACCCUUGCCUACUGAGUCAUCUUGCUGCCCUGAGUGUGACUGCAAGUCAACACUUCGAGUACCUUAAGCCCUUUGCUUUGAAGUGGAUAUGGGAUUACUGGAGCAGGCAGAUCACAGCUCUAAGAUCCUUCUUUUCUGAUAACUUGAGCUUCAGCUGAGGAACAAAGGCCGGCAGAAUAGAAUGCCCUUCCUCACUGCAUUUUGACCCCCAGUUGCAUGGCUAAAGUAACAGCAGGAUUUUGAACCCUCUUAAGAACCACUUGGAUUAUUGGGAAACUAGAGUCCAUUUGGAGGCCGGCAGUUUACGGUAGUGGUUCUUCUCACAUUAGUCUGAACUGAGAUGCCCAUAAGAGAGCAAGGUAAGGAACACAUAGCUGUGCAGCACUGUGGUGCCAAACUUCCUGUGUCCUGCUGGAGAAGGGAUGCCUGAAUGCCAGAACCUCAC